UACGGAGGGUGCGAGCGUUGUCCGGAAUCACUGGGCGUAAAGGGCGCGUAGGCGGCAUGCCAAGCGUGUGGUGAAAGCCCGGGGCUCAACCCCGGGUCGGCCGUGCGGACUGGCAUGCUCGAGCACUGUAGGGGCGGGUGGAAUUCCGGGUGUAGCGGUGGAAUGCGUAGAGAUCCGGAAGAACACCAGUGGCGAAGGCGAGUCUCUGGACAUUUCCUGACGCUGAGGCACGAAAGCCAGGGGAGCAAACGGG
rnacentral:rRNA from 1 species